CCUACGGGAGGCAGCAGUGAGGAAUAUUGGUCAAUGGACGCAAGUCUGAACCAGCCAUGCCGCGUGCGGGAAGACGGCUCUAUGAGUUGUAAACUGCUUUUGUACGAGGGUAAACGCAGAUACGCGUAUCUGUCUGAAAGUAUCGUACGAAUAAGGAUCGGCUAACUCCGUGCCAGCAGCCGCGGUAAUACGGAGGAUUCAAGCGUUAUCCGGAUUUAUUGGGUUUAAAGGGUGCGUAGGCGGUUGGAUAAGUUAGAGGUGAAAUCCCGAGGCUCAACUUCGGAAUUGCCUCGGAUACUGUUGGGCUAGAGAGCAGUUGCGGUAGGCGGAAUGUAUGGUGUAGCGGUGAAAUGCUUAGAGAUCAUACAGAACACCGAUUGCGAAGGCAGCUUACCAAGCUACUUCUGACGUUGAGGCACGAAAGCGUGGGUAGCGAACAGGAUUAGAUACCCCAGUAGUC
rnacentral:rRNA from 1 species